GAUGAACGCUGGUGGCGUGCUUAACACAUGCAAGUCGUACGGCAAUUUGGCUUUUUGGUUUUGUUGUAGUGGCGAACGGGUGAGUAAUACGUGGGUGAUCUGCCCCGGACUUCGGGAUAAGCUUGGGAAACUGGGUCUAAUACCGGAUAUUUUACUGCGGGCUGCAUGGUUCGUGGUGGAAAGGCUUUUUGCUGGUUUGGGAUGUGCUCGCGGCCUAUCAGUUUGUUGGUGGGGUAAUGGCCUACCAAGGCGUUGACGGGUAGCCGGCCUGAGAGGGUGAUCGGUCACACUGGGACUGAGAUACGGCCCAGACUCCUGUGGGAGGCAGCAGUGGGGAAUAUUGCACAAUGGGCGGAAGCUUGAUGCAGUGACGUCGCGUGAGGGAUGGAGGCCUUCGGGUUGUAAACCUCUUUCGGCAAGGACGAAGUGACAUGUUUUUGUGUGUUUUGACGGUACUUGUGGAAGAAGCACCGGCUAACUACGUGCCAGCAGCCGCGGUAAUACGUAGGGUGCGAGCGUUGUCCGGAUUUACUGGGCGUAAAGGGCUUGUAGGUGGCUUGUCGCGUUGUUCGUGGAAUCUGGGGGCUUAACUCCUAGUGUGCGGGCGAUACGGGUAGGCUUGAGUGCUGUAGGGGAGAUUGGAAUUCCUGGUGUAGCGGUGGAAUGCGCAGAUAUCAGGAAGAACACCGGUGGCGAAGGCUGGUCUCUGGGCAGUUACUGACGCUGAGGAGCGAAAGCGUGGGGAGCGAACAGGAUUAGAUACCCUGGUAGUCCAUGCUGUAAACGGUGGGCGCUGGGUGUGAGUUUGGCUGGUUUUUUGCUGGUUGGGUUUGUGCCGUAGCUAACGCGUUAAGCGCCCCGCCUGGGGAGUACGGCCGCAAGGUUAAAACUCAAAGGAAUUGACGGGGGCCCGCACAAGCGGCGGAGCAUGUGGAUUAAUUCGAUGCAACGCGAAGAACCUUACCUGGGUUUGACAUGCACAAGUUUGCUGCAGAGAUGUGGUUUCUUUUUUGGUUUGUGUGCAGGUGGUGCAUGGCUGUCGUCAGCUCGUGUCGUGAGAUGUUGGGUUAAGUCCCGCAACGAGCGUAACCCUUGUCUCGUGUUGCCAGCGGUUAGAGCCGGGGACUCGCGAGAGACUGCCGGGGUUAACUCGGAGGAAGGUGGGGAUGACGUCAAGUCAUCAUGCCCCUUAUGUCCAGGGCUUCACACAUGCUACAAUGGCUGGUACAGAGGGUUGCGAUAUCGUGAGGUGGAGCGGAUCUCUUAAAGCUGGUCUUAGUUCGGAUCGGGGUCUGCAACUCGACCUCGUGAAGUUGGAGUCGCUAGUAAUCGCAGAUCAGCAUUGCUGCGGUGAAUACGUUCCCGGGCCUU
rnacentral:rRNA from 1 species